GGAGACAAAGACACAGCUCCCAGUGCAGCCCUGUUCACACACACACCGACAUCUAUCCCCUUUCUCUCCAGGUUGUCGCAAAGGCCUUCAUAAGGACCCUGUGAAUCUCUCAAUGGAGCUGAAAGAGCAGAACACUUCCCAGGCUUGCCUGUGCACAGAAUCCUUGAGACAAAGACCACCACAAGGAGCUUGGAUGGGAGAAUCUCAGAAUACCUGCACAUCUGUUUGAUGCUUCUUGCUUGACUCAAACUAA